rnacentral:rRNA from 1 species
CGACCGGCGCACGGGUGAGUAACACGUAUCCAACCUGCCGAUGACUCGGGGAUAGCCUUUCGAAAGAAAGAUUAAUACCCGAUGGCAUAGUUCUUCCGCAUGGUAGAACUAUUAAAGAAUUUCGGUCAUCGAUGGGGAUGCGUUCCAUUAGCUUGUUGGCGGGGUAACGGCCCACCAAGGCAUCGAUGGAUAGGGGUUCUGAGAGGAAGGUCCCCCACAUUGGAACUGAGACACGGUCCAAACUCCUACGGAAGGCAGCAG